ACUCAAAGGAAUUGACGGGGGCCCGCACAAGCAGCGGAGCGUGUGGUUUAAUUCGACGCAACGCGCAGAACCUUACCAGGGUUUGACAUGUAACUGCAAGGUCUAGAGAUAGGCCCCUCCCGCAAGGGACGGUUGCACAGAUGCUGCAUGGCUGUCGUCAGCUCGUGCCGUGAGGUGUUGGGUUAAGUCCCGCAACGAGCGCAACCCUCGUCGCCAGUUGCUCUCUCUGGCGAUACUGCCGCGACAAACGCGGAGGAAGGUGGGGAUGACGUCAAGUCAGCACGGCUCUUACAUCCUGGGCUACACACACGCUACAAUGGGCGGGAACAGAGGGUUGCUAAGGGGCGACCUGGAGCCAAUCCCAUCAAAACCGCCCUCAGUUCAGAUUGUAGGCUGAAACUCGCCUGCAUGAAGACGGAGUUGCUAGUAACCGCAGGUCAGCACACUGCGGUGAAUACGUUCCCGGGCCUUGUACACACCGCCCGU
rnacentral:rRNA from 1 species